AGAAUAGUAUUUAUUUAUUUAUUUUGUUUAAGGUGUUGUUUUGAGUAUUAAAAAUAAUUAUAACUAAGAGUGUUUAAGUAUAGUUUAUAGAAAAAAUAAUUUUAAUGAUAGAGUAAAGUAUUGUAAAAGAAUGUUGAAAAAUUUUUGAAAAAUUUUUAUUUAAAAAGAAAAUUUAAUUUAUUGUACCUUGUGUAUCAGGGUUUAUCUAUUAAAAUCUAUUUAUUAUAGAUUUCUCGAUUUUAAAGGAGUUAAUAGUUUAUUUGAGUUAAUGUAAAAAAAUUAUUUAUAAUAAACUGUUAGAAAUGAAAAGUUAUUCGGCUUUAAAGGUAUCUAGUUUUUAAAGAAAUAAAUUUAAUUUAUUAAUAUGGGCAGAAAUUUAAUUGUUAAAAUGUUCUGUAAAUUAUUAAAAGUAAUUCAUGGGAUAAGCUGUGAAUUAAAGUCUUAAAAUAAGUUAAUAAUUUAUAAUAAAUGUAUGUUUAGAAAUAGCAAUCGUUAAUAAAUUUGUUAUAAUUUAUUUUAUUGAUAUAUUAUUUAGUUAUUAUUUAAGUAUUUAUUUAAAUAUUAAUUUUAAUUUUAAAAAUUAAGCAAUAAUGAUAAAAUUAGUAUAAAAUGUUGUAUAAGUAAAUUGAACUGAAAGAUUAAGUUAAAGAACUCGGCAAAUUAAUGAAUAUUCGCCUGUUUAACAAAAACAUGUCUUUUUGAAUUUAGUUUAAAGUCUAGCCUGCCCACUGAUUGUUUUAAAUGGCCGCAGUAUAUUAACUGUGCAAAGGUAGCAUAAUCAUUAGUCUUUUAAUUGAAGGCUUGUAUGAAUGGCUGAACGAGAUAUUAACUGUUUCAAUUUAAAUUUUAGAAUUUUAUUUUUUAGUCAAAAAGCUAAAAUAUAAUUGAAAGACGAGAAGACCCUAUAGAUCUUGAUAAUUGAUAUAUUAAGUUUAUAAAGAAUAUUUAAAAUUUUAUAUAAAGAAUUAUUUUAUUGGGGUGAUAAUAAGAUUUAAUAAACUCUUAUAUAAAUUAAACAUAAAUUAAUGAAUAAUUGAUCCAUUAGUAAUGAUUAGUAAUUUAAGUUACCUUAGGGAUAACAGCGUAAUUUUUUUAGAGAGUUCUUAUCGAUAAAAAGGAUUGCGACCUCGAUGUUGGAUUAAGAGAUAGAGUUGGGUGUAGCAGUUCAACUUUAAAGUCUGUUCGACUUUUAAAUUCUUACAUGAUCUGAGUUCAAACCGGCGUGAGCCAGGUUGGUUUCUAUCUUUAGUAAAUUAAAAUAUUUUAGUACGAAAGGACCAAAUAUUUAAAAUAUAGUUUUUAAAUUUAUGAAAUUUAUUAAUUUUAAC
rnacentral:rRNA from 1 species